GCCUUCGUGGUGUAGUGGUCAGCACACUCGGCGCGUAUUCGAGAGGUCCGUGGUUCGAGUCCCGGCAAGGGCG
rnacentral:tRNA from 1 species